rnacentral:rRNA from 1 species
UACGGAGGGUGCAAACGUUGCUCGGAAUCAUUGGGCGUAAAGCGCACGUAGGCGGCCUGAUAAGUCGGGUGUGAAAGCCCUGGGCUCAACCCAGGAAGUGCACUCGAAACUGUCAGGCUUGAAUAUGGAAGAGGGUCGCGGAAUUCCCGGUGUAGAGGUGAAAUUCGUAGAUAUCGGGAGGAACACCAGUGGCGAAGGCGGCGACCUGGGCCAAUAUUGACGCUGAGGUGGCGAAAGCGUGGGGAGCAAACAGG